UNGCCAGCAAUGGUAUGCCCACUCAAUCC
rnacentral:piRNA from 1 species